UACUGUCUACAGCUGGUCCCACCCGAGGCUACCGGCUGACAGACAGCCAAGUUCGUGUAUGACCUACUGCCCUGGGAUGGCAAACCUGGCCUCACCUGGGGGUUACCACCCUCACCACACAACCCAUGGACAGCUGGACAAAUGCUGGGGCCAGAGCCAUGGAGGUGGGGCACCCCUUGCUCAGCUUCUCUGAAGGUCCUGGCCUUGGUUCUUGGGGGAGUCAUAAGGGUGCAGAAGUCACCAAAUGUCACCCCAUCCCCAAGCACAGCUAAAGGGGCCCUAUAACCUAGAUGCACAGGGACGGCUUUCCCAAGCUGCUGAGGUUGACUUCCAGAGGGAAGGGGGCUGGGUCCACAGGGAUGUCCCUGCCGCUCUGCUCUUCGAAAGCAAUGCAGCUCCAGCCCAGUGUCUUAACGGGCUCAGUCCCGCAGAGGGUGGAGCUGGUGGCAGUGCCCAUUUCCCCUGGGGAGACCAUAAGAGGCCCUUAGGCUGCCGCUGCUGUUUCCAUCACCCUCCCCACAAGGAGCCUUAGAUUCUUCCGGCGGUGGGUGAGGCCAGGUAGAAACCCCGGGAAUGGGCAUCCGGCCUUCCCAGGAACACUUCGCCUGAGUCUUCCGGGACAGCUCUGCACACCUCGGGGAUCAAGGCCACUACGUCAAGGUGAAGUUGACCUCAGCGGACAAGAACCGUGGGAGGGAGGUUCUCCGAUGGAGCCUGACAUCCCUGGAUCAGGUGGUCCCACCCUGCAGCCAGGGCCUUCAUUUGGCCUCUGUACACUUAACCCUGCAGCCCUCUUUGUACCUACAGGGAGCGUAGUAUAGACCACUGUGUCUUUCUACACCUGGGGAAACCGAGGCAGGAGGCAGUGAGGUACCUACACUCACCUGGCAAGAAAGAAGGCCUCUGGUACAUCUGAGGGCAUGUCCUGCUCCGGGCAGGGCGCGUUCCUUGCUUAAGAGCAGCUGGUGGCAAGUCUCCCUCCACUGCUUCCCAGGCCAGUCUUGAGGGAGCCCAGGGACAAGGGCCCCCUUCCCCCCCACGAGUGCCAAAGUAGCACCUGAGCGAGGAAUCUCAGCCCCAAGAAUGAAAAGGCCCCAAAGGAAGCACGAGGACCCAACCAGCCAGGUCCCCGAGGGUCCAGGGUAGCCAGCUGCAUGCGACCCACCGCCUAGUGCCGGCUCCCACACCCCUCCACACCACACAGGCCCCAAGACCCUCCACCGACUGGGCUGACAGUGCAGGCACCCAGCUUUGGGAGACUGUGCCACAUGGGGGCGAAGCCCCUGGUGCCCUGGCAAGGCAAUUGUGGUGUUUUGUUGUUUUUUUGUCCUCCUUCCAUUUUCUACUCUGCAGUCUUUUAACAGAAUUCCCAAACUAGGUCGACACAGCUCCAGUCCACACCAGCACACCAGGCUUCCUCCCAGGGCAGUUGAGGAAGCUCCCUCUGGGCAUGGCCGGGUGGUCCUCCUGCCCCUUCACCCCCUGGCCUCCACGGACUCUGGCUGAGGGGGGAUGGAUGAUUCUUAGGCUUCCCUCCCCCCUAGCACCCAUCACAGGAGGCCCGUCGGAGGCUCAGCUCCCGUCCACAGCACUUCCUUCCUGCCUCUUGGAGGGCAACAAGGGUCCCGGAGGCUGGUCCUGGAUCCCCUCCUCCCUUCAGUGGGAGGGGCAGAGAGCCCAAGGGCCACGCGGCUUGGUCCCUUGGACACGCAAGCUCAGGGAGGACAUAGCGGAGGAGGCAGCUAGAGGACUUUGUAACCCUGUUGGGCACAGACCAUGCAACCUGGGGCCAACUGGGCCUCGUCCUCUACCUGCUCAAACGUGCUUCCACCAAACAGAGGAAACCCAUUUACUAGUUUUUCUAAUAAAUCAAUAAUGCUCCA